GGGAGCCAAGUACGCACACCUGGGGAUGCUCCCAGGCAGUGGAUUAACUACCUCAUACCAGACUCUCAAGAGACUGACCUGAGAAAUAAAGACCCCUCCUCCCUAAGGCUGCAGAGACUGUUGUGACUCCAACCCAUCUUGGCCAAUCAUCUCCAGUGAGAGAAGAAAACCUGGACAAGGCUUGUGCCUGUUGAUCUCCCAGCCCACGAGCACCUAGGAGGUGGCCCCUGAAGCCCCAGCUCCGUUGGCUUCCACCUGAAUCCUGGCCACAGGCUCUGCUGUUAGAAGGCCUAAAACAGGAGAACGUUUCCUGAGGUUUAUCUCCCUGCCUGCAUCCCAUGCUGUGGUCUCUUCAGGAAAUUGAGUCUGACUGUUCCAGCAUCUCUGAAGGAGCAAAGAAAUAGAAGUCCUAGUGGGCAGGAGCCGACCAGCUCUAUUCCAGGAGGAGGAGAAAGUGGGUGGACACAGAGGAGGGAGGACAGGGCUAGCAAAGCUAAAGGGCCUGUAUCGCCUGGUCCCUGAAGUCUCUUCAUUCCCAGCUGGCUCCAAGCCUUGAGUCUCUUUGCUACUUCCUGGCCUUUGCACUCAACUUUCCCUUGUCUGGAACACCAUCCCCGUCCUGCUUCACCUCCCCCAUCUUUCUGAACUGCAGCAGCGCUUUGUAGAGAAGCCUUCCCAGACCUGAGGCUGAGUCAGGUGCCUCUGUUACAUGUUCCUAUUUGAGGGCUCUUUGCUAAAUGCCCCCCUUCCCUAGCAGGUCAUGCUUCCCAGAGCCUGUUGGGAAAGCCAAUAUGUCUCCAAACCUUUGAGCACAGUUGGCCCAGAAGGGAUGCUCAAUAAAAACUGAGAAAAAUUAACUGAUUGCGUGAGAGUGCUCCUUCCUGCAUGACACAGGUCCCUCAGGGCCCCUGCUCCCCACUGGUGCAUCUCAGUGGCUCAUGGCUGUGCCCUCUUCCAUCCAGAGGGUGGUGACAGGGGAAGGUGUGUAGCCUGGAGGCCACUGGAGACCAAUGGAGGUGAUGGGAGCUGCAAGAGUGACAGGAAAUUGUAUACGAAUAACAAAAGCGGUGGAAGUAAUAGGAUGACAAAGAGGAGUCUUGGGAGAUGGUAAAAAUAUAACAAGGAGUGCAACGUGGUCUAACUGCGUAAUAAGAUGCCAUGAGCUAGAUGUGGGGGCACAUGCCUGUAUUCCUAGCUAUUGGGGAGGCUGAGGCAGGGGAGUUGUAAAUUUGAGCCUAGCCCAGGCAACCUAGAGAAGGCCCUGUCUCAAAAUUUUUAAAAAAAGAAAAGAAAAGAAAAAGAGCUGGAGAGGUAGCUCAGGGCUCCCUGGGUUUGAUCUCAGUAAUGCAAAACAAAUAAAUAAAAAGAUACCAUGACUGCCUGGCAUGGUGCAUGCCUGUGAUCCCAGCACUCGAGAGGCUGAGGCAGGAGGAUCGCUGUGAGUUCAAGACCAGCCUGAGUUACAUAGUGAGUUCCAGGUCAGUUUCAACUACACAGUGAGACCCUGUCUCAAAAAAACAAAAAACAAAACAAAACGAAACAAAACAAAAAAAAAGAUACCAUGACUGAUUGAAAACAGGC
rnacentral:lncRNA from 1 species